rnacentral:rRNA from 1 species
AUUGAACGCUGGCGGCAGGCCUAACACAUGCAAGUCGAGCGAGCGGCGGACGGGUGAGUAAUGUCUGGGAAACUGCCUGAUGGAGGGGGAUAACUACUGGAAACGGUAGCUAAUACCGCAUACCAUCAGAUGUGCCCAGAUGGGAGUAGCUAGUAGGUGGGGUAACGGCUAACCUAGGCGACGAUCCCUAGCUGGUCUGAGAGGAUGACCAGCCAAACUGGAACUGAGACACGGUCCAGACGCCUACGGGAGGCAGCAGGGGGGAAUAUUGCACAAUGGGCGCAAGCCUGAUGAAGCCAUGCCGGGUGUAUGAAGAAGGCCGUCGGGUUGUAAAGUACUUUCAGCGGGGAGGCGUUACCCGCAGAAGAAGCACCGGCUAACUCCGUGCCAGCAGCCGCGGUAAUUC